GGCACGUGUGGUCUAGCGGUAGGGCACAGGAUUCAUGAUCGUGAGGUUGUGGGUUCGAGCCCCGCCGUGGCCA
rnacentral:tRNA from 1 species